CUUGUGGGCAUGUAGCCAGAACUGUAGAAUGUAAACUUGACCCUGGAUAGGCCAGUUGGAUUCUUUUCCCCUGUCAGUUAUAAAUAUCCCUAGCCAACACACUGUUGUUGAUGUGCCAAUAGUCAAUUGAAUAUCAAUAUAGAAACUCCGAACAUAACAUUGUAGGUAAAAUAUAAACAUAUUUAAAAUAAGUUUCUCAGUUCCCUCUUGCGUAUAAAAGGCCAAGUGACUGUUCUACAUCCUGAAGGAGGAAAUUGCUUAGAGUAUUUGUGUUUAGCAGAGGAGACAGCCCUCACUGCUCUCUAUGACAUGAUGCCUUGUACUGCUCCAUUCUUUCUAGUUUUAGCUGCUGUUUUUGCCAAGAGUUAUGGGCAAACUAUCCAACAGUCUCUCAGCCAGCAGUCAGUGUUCCAGGGGAUGGAAGUACAGCUGAACUGCACUUACUCUGGUGCUGACUAUCUGUUCUGGUAUGUUCAGUAUCCCGGACAAGCUCUAGAGAUGCUCCUAAGCAGCUUGCUUAAUGAAGAAAAUAAAGGAUUUUCAGCUGAGCACAAGAAGAGCGAAACAUCUUUCAAUAUGAAAAAAGACAAAGCUGAACUACAAGACUCCGGGGUGUAUUUCUGUGCUGCUAGGGACACAGUGACUCAGGGAUAGAGCACACCUGUCACAUAACUCUCAGGCUGAGCUCACUACUACACUACAUCUUCAGUUAAAGGGCAAUGACAUUUGUAUUCGUAUGAAAUUUUAACUAUUGUGUGUGCAUUCAGCUUCAUCUUUACUAUACUGUUUUAUUUUAAGACAGACAUUCCCAUUCAUUUCAUUAUUGUACAGAUAAAACACUAAGGUUUAAGAUUGUUGUAAGUUUUGCUUAUGUUUUCUCUCCAUUGCAGUCUCUUUGGUUAUAAUUACCUGAAGAUGCCUAUGACUUUACAUAGUAUCUGAUGUUGAGCCAGAUAAAGGUUAAGUGAAAUGUUAAAAAAACGUUUUCCUUAUAGUUUCAUAUUCUUGUUACACAGAUGUGAUAGAUAGGCCUUAGAUAUUUAUGAAAUGUACGUGUAUCAAUUACAGAUACCUUAAAAAAACCAGUAAAAGAGGGCUCAAUAACCUUGUUCUUACAAACAUCUCCCUCCAUCUUUAGAUGAGCUCAAGUAAGUUUUGGAGCCAUUUCUGGAAAUUUCGGAAAAAAAAAUCAAAAUUGGAACAAAUUUGACAGUAGCACAAAUAUCACAGUUUAUGGUGGAAAUUUUAUUUAUGUGCUUUGUUUUGCAUGGAUUAAAGAUUUGUUCUAGUGAUUUGUUAGAGGCCAUUAUAUAUUCAACUAUGUAAAAGCAUAAAGCUGGAAUUGGCAGUUUUUAUCUGUGUGUGUAGACCAGCUGAUGACUGGAGUUCUCUAUAGACAAGCCACACUACGGUAGUUAUUUAUCAAAAUCCUAAUUUAGCCCAUUAUUUUCUGAAAUAUACAUUGACCAAAUUCCCAUGUGUUAUUUCCUGUUAUUUAUCAAUACAUUUUACCAAAUUUGGACUUUAAUAAAUAAC